rnacentral:rRNA from 1 species
GGCUAGCACAGGUGCUGCAUGGCUGUCGUCAGCUCGUGUCGUGAGAUGUUCGGUUAAGUCCGCUACGAGCGCAACCCUUGCUGUGUGUUACAUGUGUCACACGGGACGUGCCGGUCUUAAACCGGAGGAAGGUGGGGAUGACGUCAAGUCAGCAUGGCCUUUAUGUCCUGGGCUACACACACGCUACAAUGGCCGGUACAAUAGGUUGCGAAGCCGCGAGGCGGAGCCAAUCCUCAAAGCCGGCCUCAGUUCAGAUUGUAGGCUGCAACCCGCCUGCAUGAAGAUGGAGUUGCUAGUAACCGCAGGUCAGCUAUACUGCGGUGAAUACGUUCCCGGGGCUU